UAUCUCUGUAGAGUCUGCAUAUCAAUAAGCGGAGGAAAAGAAACUAACUAGGAUUCCCUUAGUAACGGCGAGUGAAGCGGGAAGAGCUCAAAUUUGAAAUCUUCAAGGUUCUACCUUGACGAAUUGUAGUUUAAAGAAGUGUUUUCUGUUGGAGUUGAGUAGCAAAAGUUCCUUGGAAUAGGACAUCAUAGAGGGUGAGAAUCCCGUAUUUGACUUAUUCAUUCUAGCUUUGUGAUACACUUUCAAAGAGUCGGAUUGUUUGGGAAUGCAGUCCAAAAUGGGUGGUAAAUUUCAUCUAAAGCUAAAUAUCGGCGAGAGACCGAUAGCGAACAAGUACCGUGAGGGAAAGAUGAAAAGAACUUUGAAAAGAGAGUUAAACAGUACGUGAAAUUGUCAAAAGGGAAGCGUUUGACACCAGUGUUGUUUUCUCGAAAAUCAAUUACGAAAUGGCAUUGAUUCUGUGUUGUAUUGACCUUAUCAGCUUUCUGCACUCUUUUCUAGUCUUUCUUAAUGCACUUUUCGGUUAACAAGUCCAACGUCAAUUUCUUUUGUUGUAAAAGGAGUAUUCGGAAGGUGGCUUUCUUUUCGGAGAAAGUGUUUAUAGCCCUAUAGCUUCUAGCAAUCGGAGAGAUUGAGGUCUGCAGCGUAGAUCCUUCGGGGUUAGAUACACUUGUGCUAAGUUAUAGCUUUUCAUAGACAACUUGUUGACUAUGAUUAGUCAUGUCGGCUUACUCGCUUAUGCUAUUUUACCUACGCUUAGGAUGUUGAAGAUGUAGCACAUCAU
rnacentral:rRNA from 1 species